AGAGACAGCAGCCGCCGCGGUAAUACAGAGGAUGCAAGCGUUAUCCGGAAUUAUUGGGCGUAAAGCGCGCGCAGGCGGCCUAUCCAGUCUGUCUUAAAAGUUCGGGGCUCAACCCCGUGAUGGGAUGGAAACUAGUAGGCUAGAGUAUCGGAGAGGAAAGCGGAAUUCCUAGUGUAGCGGUGAAAUGCGUAGAUAUUAGGAAGAACACCAGUGGCGAAGGCGGCUUUCUGGACGAAAACUGACGCUGAGGCGCGAAAGCUAGGGGAGCGAACGGGAUUAGAUACCCGAGUAGUCCCUGUCUCUUAUACC
rnacentral:rRNA from 1 species